AGCAGUAGCCGCGGUAAUACGAAGGGUGCAAGCGUUACUCGGAAUUACUGGGCGUAAAGCGUGCGUAGGUGGUGGUUUAAGUCCGUUGUGAAAGCCCUGGGCUCAACCUGGGAAUUGCAGUGGAUACUGGGUCACUAGAGUGUGGUAGAGGAUAGUGGAAUUUCCGGUGUAGCAGUGAAAUGCGUAGAGAUCGGAAGGAACAUCUGUGGCGAAGGCGACUACCUGGGCCAACACUGACACUGAGGCACGAAAGCGUGGGGAGCAAACAGGAUUAGAUACCCCAGUAGUCCCUGUCUCUUAUAC
rnacentral:rRNA from 1 species